GCGGCGUGCCUAACACAUGCAAGNNGUGGGGCAGCAGGCUACUGUCUUUUGGCAGUAGUGCUGGCGACCGGCAAACGGGUGAGUAACACGUAGCUUACCUACCCAUAGGUUGGGGAUAACAUCCCGAAAGGGGUGCUAAUACCCAAUAAUGAGGAGACUCCAAAGCCCUUAUGGGCGCCUAUGGAUGGGGCUGCGUCCCAUCAGCUAGUUGGUGAGGUAAUGGCUCACCAAGGCUACGACGGGUAACCGGUCUGAGAGGAUGACCGGUCACAGUGGGACUGAGACACGGCCCGCACCCCUACGGGGGGCAGCAGUGGGGAAUAUUGGGCAAUGGCCGAAAGGCUGACCCAGCAACGCCGCGUGGCGGAUGAAGCCCUUCGGGGUGUAAACACCUUUUCUGGGGGAAGAUAAUGACGGUACCCCAGGAAUAAGGGACGGCUAACUACGUGCCAGCAGCCGCGGUAAUACGUAG
rnacentral:rRNA from 1 species